GAUGAAGGCUGGCGGCGUGCUUAAGACAUGCAAGUCGAACGGAAAGCCCCCAGCUUGCUGGGGUACUCGAGUGGCGAAGGGGUGAGUAACAGGAGGGUGUUCUGCCCUGCCCUUUGGGAUGAGGUUGGCAAACUGGGACAAAUGCCAAUACUGCCUAAUAUUUGAAACUGGGGGUGGAAGAUUUUUGCGGUGUGGGAUGCGCCUGCGGCCUAUCAGCUUGUUGGUGGGGUAAUGGCCUACCAAGGCGGCGACGGGUAGCCGGCCUGAGAGGGGGUACGGACACAUUGGGACUGAGAUACGGCCCAGACUCCUACGGGAGGCAGCAGUGGGGAAUAUUGCACAAUGGGCGCAAGCCUGAUGCAGCGACGCCGCGUGGGGGAUGAAGGCCUUCGGGUUGUAAACUCCUUUCGCUAUCGACGAAGCCACUUGUGGUGACGGUAGGUAGAUAAGAAGCACCGGCUAACUACGUGCCAGCCGCCGCCGUAA
rnacentral:rRNA from 1 species